GAUGAACGCUGGCGGCGUGCCUAAUACAUGCAAGUCGAGCGAACAGACGAGGAGCUUGCUCCUCUGACGUUAGCGGCGGACGGGUGAGUAACACGUGGAUAACCUACCUAUAAGACUGGGAUAACUUCGGGAAACCGGAGCUAAUACCGGAUAACAUGUUGAACCGCAUGGUUCAACAGUGAAAGACGGUUUUGCUGUCACUUAUAGAUGGAUCCGCGUCGCAUUAGCUAGUUGGUAAGGUAACGGCUUACCAAGGCAACGAUGCGUAGACGACCUGAGAGGGUGAUCGGCUACACGGGAACUGAGACACGGUCCAGACUCCUACGGGAAGCAGCAGUAGGGAAUCUUCCGCAAUGGGCGAAAGCCUGACGGAGCAACGCCGCGUGAGUGAAGAAGGUCUUCGGAUCGUAAAACGCUGUUAUUAGGGAAGUACAAAUGUGUAAGUAACUAUGCACGUCUUGACGGUACCUAAUCAGAAAGCCACGGCUAACUACGUG
rnacentral:rRNA from 1 species